rnacentral:rRNA from 1 species
UACGUAGGGUGCAAGCGUUAAUCGGAAUUACUGGGCGUAAAGCGUGCGCAGGCGGUAAUGUAAGACAGUUGUGAAAUCCCCGGGCUCAACCUGGGAACUGCAUCUGUGACUGCAUUGCUGGAGUACGGUAGAGGGGGAUGGAAUUCCGCGUGUAGCAGUGAAAUGCGUAGAUAUGCGGAGGAACACCGAUGGCGAAGGCAAUCCCCUGGACCUGUACUGACGCUCAUGCACGAAAGGCGUGGGGAGCAAACAGG